rnacentral:tRNA from 1 species
AGUCUUUUAGUUUAUUUAAAAUGUUGAAUUGCAAAUUCAAAGAUAAUUUGUUUAAUGACUU